UACAGAGGUCCUAAGCGUUGUUCGGAUUCACUGGGCGUAAAGGGUGCGUAGGCGGUCAGGUAAGUCUGAUGUGAAAUCUCUGGGCUUAACCCAGAAAUGGCAUUGGAUACUAUUUGGCUUGAGAGUUGGAGGGGGGACUGGAAUUCUUGGUGUAGCAGUGAAAUGCGUAGAUAUCAAGAGGAACACCAGUGGCGAAGGCGAGUCCCUGGACAACUUCUGACGCUGAGGCACGAAAGCUAGGGGAGCAAAAGGG
rnacentral:rRNA from 1 species